rnacentral:tRNA from 1 species
UUCCUCAUAGUUCAGUGCUAAGACUCUGCACUCCCAAUACAGGGGUCCCGGGUUCAAUUCCUGGUCAGGGAA